rnacentral:rRNA from 1 species
CCUACGGGAGGCAGCAGUGAGGAAUAUUGGUCAAUGGACGAGAGUCUGAACCAGCCAAGUAUCGUGAAGGAUGACUGCCCUAUGGGUUGUAAACUUCUUUUAUAUGGGAAUAAACUGUUCCACUUGUGUGCUUUUGUAUGUACCUUAUGAAUAAGGAUCGGCUAACUCCGUGCCAGCAGCCGCGGUAAUACGGAGGGUCCGAGCGUUAUCCGGAUUUAUUGGGUUUAAAGGGAGCGUAGGUGGAUUGUUAAGUCAGUUGUGAAAGUUUGCGGCUCAACCGUACAAUUGCAGUUGAAACUGGCAGGCUUGAGUAUAGUAGAGGUGGGCGGAAUUCGUGGUGUAGCGAUGAAAUGCUUAGAGAUCACGAAGAACUCCGAUUGCGAAGGCAGCUCACUGGACUGAAACUGACACUGAGGUUCGAAAGUGUGGGUAUCAAACAGGAUUAGAUACCCUUGUAGUC